CAGCUCGUGUCGUGAGAUGUUGGGUUAAGUCCCGCAACGAGCGCAACCCUUAUUGUUAGUUGCUACCAUUUAGUUGAGCACUCUAGCGAGACUGCCCGGGUUGACCGGGAGGAAGGUGGGGAUGACGUCAAAUCAUCAUGCCCCUUAUGUCUAGGGCUACACACGUGCUACAAUGGUCGGUACAAUGAGAUGCAACCUCGCGAGAGUGAGCAAAACUAUAAAACCGAUCUCAGUUCGGAUCGUAGGCUGAAACUCGCCUACAUGAAGCUGGAGUUGCUAGUAAUCGCGAAUCAGAAUGUCGCGGUGAAUACGUUCCCGGGCCUUGUACACACCGCCCGUCACACCAUGAGAGUUGGCAAUACCCAAAGUUCGUGAGCUAACGCGUAAGGGAGGCAGCGACCUAAGGUAGGGUCAGCGAUUGGGGUGAAGUCGUAACAAGGUAGCCGUAGGAGAACCUGCGGUUGGAUCACCUC
rnacentral:rRNA from 1 species